rnacentral:rRNA from 1 species
AGAUUAAGUUAUUAAGGGCGCACGGUGGAUGCCUUGGCACUAGAAGCCGAUGAAGGACGUUACUAACGACGAUAUGCUUUGGGGAGCUGUAAGUAAGCUUUGAUCCAGAGAUUUCCGAAUGGGGAAACCCAGCAUGAGUUAUGUCAUGUUAUCGAUAUGUGAAUACAUAGCAUAUCAGAAGGCACACCCGGAGAACUGAAACAUCUUAGUACCCGGAGGAAGAGAAAGAAAAUUCGAUCCCCUUAGUAGCGGCGAGCGAAACGGGAAGAGCCCAAACCAACAAGCUUGCUUGUUGGGGUUGUAGGACACUCUAUACGGAGUUACAAAGGACGACAUUAGACGAAUCAUCUGGAAAGAUGAAUCAAAGAAGGUAAUAAUCCUGUAGUCGAAAAUGUUGUCUCUCUUGAGUGGAUCCUGAGUACGACGGAGCACGUGAAAUUCCGUCGGAAUCUGGGAGGACCAUCUCCUAAGGCUAAAUACUCUCUAGUGACCGAUAGUGAACCAGUACCGUGAGGGAAAGGUGAAAAGCACCCCGGAAGGGGAGUGAAAUAGAACCUGAAACCGUGUGCUUACAAGUAGUCAGAGCCCGUUAAUGGGUGAUGGCGUGCCUUUUGUAGAAUGAACCGGCGAGUUACGAUUUGAUGCAAGGUUAAGCAGUAAAUGUGGAGCCGUAGCGAAAGCGAGUCUGAAUAGGGCGUUUAGUAUUUGGUCGUAGACCCGAAACCAGGUGAUCUACCCUUGGUCAGGUUGAAGUUCAGGUAACACUGAAUGGAGGACCGAACCGACUUACGUUGAAAAGUGAGCGGAUGAACU